rnacentral:rRNA from 1 species
AUUGAACGCUGGCGGCAUGCCUUACACAUGCAAGUCGAACGGUAACAGGGUGCUUGCACCGCUGACGAGUGGCGAACGGGUGAGUAAUGCGUCGGAACGUGCCGAGUAGUGGGGGAUAACGCAGCGGAAGUUGUGCUAAUACCGCAUACGUACUGAGGUAGAAAGUGGGGGACCUUCGGGCCUCACGCUAUUCGAGCGGCCGACGUCUGAUUAGCGAGUAGGUGAGGUAAAGGCUCACCUAGGCGACGAUCAGUAGCGGGUCUGAGAGGAUGAUCCGCCACACUGGGACUGAGACACGGCCCAGACUCCUACGGGAGGCAGCAGUGGGGAAUUUUGGACAAUGGGCGAAAGCCUGAUCCAGCCAUGCCGCGUGUCUGAAGAAGGCCUUCGGGUUGUAAAGGACUUUUGUCAGGGAGGAAAUCCCUAGUGCUAAUAACACUGGGGGAUGACAGUACCUGAAGAAUAAGCACCGGCUAACUACGUGCCAGCCGCCGCGGUAA